rnacentral:rRNA from 1 species
ACGUAGGCGGCAAGCGUUGUCCGGAAUUAUUGGGCGUAAAGGGAGCGCAGGCGGGAAACUAAGCGGAUCUUAAAAGUGCGGGGCUCAACCCCGUGAUGGGGUCCGAACUGGUUUUCUUGAGUGCAGGAGAGGAAAGCGGAAUUCCCAGUGUAGCGGUGAAAUGCGUAGAUAUUGGGAAGAACACCAGUGGCGAAGGCGGCUUUCUGGACUCUAACUGACGCUGAGGCUCGAAAGCUAGGGUCGCGAACGG